GCCGGCGCCAUCUUGGUGAAGGGCAGAUUCUCACACCUGCUGCCGGGCCGCGUUGCCCCGAGUCCUCCGACCGCCAUUUUUCUUAAGGGUCCUCGUGCGCGGCUGUGUGGGCGCCAUGUUGGAGAGGGGCAGAUUCUCACACCUGCGGGCGGAGCGGGGACUGCGGAGCCGCCGUUUGGUGUCUGGCGGCCGCUGAGGCGAGAGGUGGGCAUCUCCGAGCUGAAGUUGUCCUGUACAGCCUGUGAGUGAUGAGCCCUGAACUCAUUGGGGGUGUAGCUCAGUCGAGGGAACAGUGUGGAGGCCAUACCCUUACCCCGUGAGAGCCACAGGGGCCAUCUGGUUGCCACCCCUUUUCCUCACUCCCAAGACGUGGAAGCACCGGCCAUUCCCAUGUCCCUGACGGAGCAGCUGAGGCAAUGAACAUACAGCUGUACUGUUUUAAUAUCGGAUGGGGCCAGCAUGCGCACCGCCCAGGGAGGGAUUGGCAGCAGAAUUCCACCCCUUUUCUCAGGAACACAUGUGCCGUUUUGUUACGCAAAGGAAACCCAGUGAAGGCAA